UGCAAAGGUAGCAUAAUCAUUUGCCUUAUAAUUGAAGGCUAGUAUCAACGGUUUGACGAGAACAAGACUGUCUUUAAUAUAUUGUUUAAAAGUUAUAUUUCACGUUAAAAUACUUGAAUUAAAUUAGGGGACGAGAAGACCCUAUCGAGCUUAAAAAUAAAUUUUUAAAAUGAUCUACUUAAUAGGAUUUUAUGAUUUAAAGAAGAUUUUUGGUUGGGGCGACCGAGGAAUAAAUAAAACUUCCUUUUAUAAUGCUAAAUUAUGUUUGAAGAUCCAAUAUCUAUUAUUGAUUUAAAAAAUUAGUUACCGUAGGGAUAACAGCGUAAUUUUUUUUGAGAGUUCUAAUCGAAAAAAAAGAUUGCGACCUCGAUGUUGAAUUAGGAUGCCAGAAGGGUGUAGCCGCUUU
rnacentral:rRNA from 1 species